ACCCUAUUCUUUCUUGGGGUACAGGAGCCCAUGAGGAAAACUCCCUGGACGUGGAAAACUGUAUGAGCUUCCAGGGUAAAAGGAUAAACAGUAAUCUGAAAACUAACAGGCAUUUAUAAUAAACAACGCGCUAGAAACCCGUGCUGGGAGCACUGGAGAUGGAGGCUCCUGAAAGUGCCAACCUUCAGUUUGGAUCUGAGGCUUCAUGCACAGGCUGUCUGGUCUACGGGCAGGCUCCCCAUCAAAAGGCCAAGAUGACUGCCAAGCGUCCUGCUGAUUCAGAUUACUCAGAUGAAGUCUCCCAUUACUGCUGAUCUUCAACCCCCAUUUGAUUCUCCUCAUGCUUCGUUAGCCUCCUGCCCAUUCCUAAAUCAACCAGGAGUAGGGGGAGGCUCCAAGUGACAUCUGGAAUCUCCAUCUUCUGUGGGAAGCUCUUUAAGUUAGACAAGUGCUGUGAGCGACAAAAGGAAGAAAGCCAAUUAUGGCUUGGUGGAGUCUUGUCUCAGGUAUGUUGGAGGAAUGUGCAAGGUUCACAGCUCUCUGCUGUUGUCAUUUUGAUGCUAUGUUCACAGACAGCCACUAGAUCAGCAUGGCUGCAGAAAUAUUUCAGCACAAAAGGCAUUUUUCCAACACUACUAUGGGGUGUGAGGGGCACCUGACUGAUUAAAGAAGGGCUGUUGGGGCGGGGCUGUUAACCUAAGUGAUCACUGUCAAGUUUGCCAGAGGUGGCAGACCACUCCCUUCCCAGACACCCAGAACAUUCCUACAAAAGUCAGGUAGCUAAAC